rnacentral:rRNA from 1 species
GACGAACGCUGGCGGCGCGCCUAACACAUGCAAGUCGAACGAGCGAGAGAGAGCUUGCUUUCUUGAGCGAGUGGCGAACGGGUGAGUAACGCGUGAGGAACCUGCCUCAAAGAGGGGGACAACAGUUGGAAACGACUGCUAAUACCGCAUAAGCCCACGGUGCCGCAUGGCACAGAGGGAAAAGGAGCAAUCCGCGUUGAGAUGGCCUCGCGUCCGAUUAGCUAGUUGGUGAGGUAACGGCCCACCAAGGCGACGAUCGGUAGCCGGACUGAGAGGUUGAACGGCCACAUUGGGACUGAGACACGGCCCAGACUCCUACGGGAGGCAGCAGUGGGGAAUAUUGCAAGAUGGGGGAAACCAUGAUGCAGCGACGCCGCGUGGAGGAAGAAGGUCUUCGGAUAGUAAACUCCUGUUGUUGGGGAAGAUAAUGACGGUACCCAACAAGGAAGUGACGGCUAACUACGUG